UACUCCUUGUUCAUAUGCCCAUCUCAAACAAACCUGAGCAAGCGAUUUUCCCUUGGCUUGGGCAAUUUCCUUGAGUAGCUCACAUUCCAUCACCCGAUUUGUUCCCCACAGCGUUCCUUUUGCCCCCAAAGGAGAGUAAGACUCGAUAAGUAUGCCCUUCUCAUCGCAAAACUUCCUCAGUUUCUUUUGCUGCCACAUUGGGUUCAUCUCCACCUUUCACCCCAUACAUCAAUUCAUACGAAUCCAUCAUUAGUUACUUUACUAUUAAUUUUAAUUGAAAAACAUUAAGCAGAUGAUACAAAACAUUAGGUAGAAAUUAAAGUGGUCCUCACUUGGUUCACUGCAGGUGGGAUUUUGGCAGUGGAAAGGAUAGUUUCGAGUUUCUUGCAGGAGAAAUUGCUUACUCCUAUAGAUUUUG
rnacentral:lncRNA from 1 species